rfam:Salmo salar isolate Sally breed double haploid chromosome ssa22, whole genome shotgun sequence.
GAUAUCAUAAGGUGUAAGUCGCUCUGGAUAAGAGUGUCUGCUAAAUGAUGUAAA